rfam:Ascaris suum AG00001, whole genome shotgun sequence.
GUCCGUCUGGCCGAGUGGUCUAAGGCGCUGCGUUCAGGUCGCAGUCUACAUCUGUAGGCGCAGGUUCGAAUCCUGCGGCGGACA